rnacentral:rRNA from 1 species
UAGGGAAUAUUGCACAAUGGAGGAAACUCUGAUGCAGCGACGCCGCGUGAGUGAUGAAGGCCUUCGGGUCGUAAAGCUCUGUCGUACGGGAAUAAGAAAGUGAAUGUACCGUGCAAGAAAGGAUCGGCUAACUUCGUGCCAGCAGCCGCGGUAAGACGAGGGAUCCUAGCGUUGUUCGGAAUCAUUGGGCGUAAAGCGGAUGCAGGUGGCUUUGUAAGUCAGGUGUGAAAGCCCAGGGCUCAACCCUGGAAGUGCAUUUGAAACUGCAAAGCUUGAGUGCUGGAGAAGUCACUGGAAUUCCUGGUGUAGUGGUAAAAUACGUAGAUAUCAGGAGGAACAUCGGAGGCGAAGGCGGGUGACUAGCCAGACACUGACACUCAGAUCCGAAAGCGUGGGGAUC